GACGAACGCUGGCGGCGUGCUUAACACAUGCAAGUCGAGCGGUAAGGCCCUUUCGGGGGUACACGAGCGGCGAACGGGUGAGUAACACGUGGGUGACCUGCCCUCAGCUCUGGGAUAAGCCUGGGAAACCGGGUCUAAUACCGGAUAUGACUCCAUGACGCAUGUUGUGGGGUGGAAAGCCUUGUGCGGCUGAGGAUGGGCCCGCGGCCUAUCAGCUUGUUGGUGGGGUGAUGGCCUACCAAGGCGACGACGGGUAGCCGGCCUCGAGAGGGCGACCGGCCGACACCGGGACUGAGACACGGCCCAGGACUCCUACGGGAGGCGAGGCAGUGGGGAAUCGUUGCGCAAUGGGCGAAA
rnacentral:rRNA from 1 species